rnacentral:lncRNA from 1 species
UCCAUUUUGGAAAAAAAAACACAUACCAAGGAAUAAUUGAUUGCAUGAACUUUUUCAUUAAAUACCUCUAAUUAAUAUCUUGAAAAUGGUGGAAUACUCCUACUUUAUGUCUUGAAAACAUGAAUUCAACCAAGUUUUAAAUAAGUCAAGCCUUGAAAAUUGAAAUUAUGAAGAUAUAUUUGAAAAACUAUCAUUAAAUUAGUUUUGAAAGU